rnacentral:rRNA from 1 species
GUGGGGAAUCUUCCGCAAUGGACGAAAGUCUGACGGAGCAACGCCGCGUGAGUGAUGAAGGUCUUCGGAUUGUAAAGCUCUGUUAAUCGGGACGAAAGAGCCUAGUGUGAAUAAUGCUAGGAAGUGACGGUACCGGAAUAGAAAGCCACGGCUAACUACGUGCCAGCAGCCGCGGUAAUACGUAGGUGGCAAGCGUGUCCGGAAUUAUUGGGCGUAAAGCGCGCGCAGGCGGAUCUGCCAGUCUGUCUUAAAAGUUCGGGGCUUAACCCCGGGAUGGGGUGGAAAAUACAGAUCUAGAGUAUCGGAGAGGAAAGUGGAAUUCCUAGUGUAGCGGUGAAAUGCGUAGAUAUUAGGAAGAACACCAGUGGCGAAGGCGACUUUCUGGACGAAAACUGACGCUGAGGCGCGAAAGCCAGGGGAGCGAACGGGAUUAGAAACCCCUGUAGUCC